GAAGAAUUGGACGACUUCAGAGCAUCCAUCAGACAUUCUUCUCCAAAAGAUGGCCAACCUGUUGUGGAUCACUUUGACACUGAUCUUCCUUCUGUCUGCUGGAUGUUCGGCUCACAGGGACCCGAAAUAUGAAGCUGGUCUUGUAGCAGCAAUUGUAAAUGCAGGGCAUAACAAACCUGCGAAUCAAGAGAACAAACCUGCGAAUCAAGAGAACAAACCUACUCUCUUGAGUAAGGUGAAGUCAAAGUAGAAGAAAU